UACAGGGGGUGCGUGCGUUAAUCGGAAUUACUGGGCGUAAAGCGCGCGUAGGCGGCUUUGCAAGUCGGGUGUGAAAUCCCCAGGCUUAACCUGGGAACUGCAUUCGAGACUGCAUUGCUAGAGUAUGGGAGAGGGAAGUGGAAUUUCCGGUGUAGCGGUGAAAUGCGUAGAUAUCGGAAGGAACAUCAGUGGCGAAAGCGACUUCAUGGACAAAUACUGACGCUCAUGUGCGAAAGCGUGGGGAGAAAACAGG
rnacentral:rRNA from 1 species